rnacentral:rRNA from 1 species
UACGUAGGUGGCAAGCGUUGUCCGGAAUUAUUGGGCGUAAAGCGCGCGCAGGCGGUCCUUUAAGUCUGAUGUGAAAGCCCACGGCUCAACCGUGGAGGGUCAUUGGAAACUGGGGGACUUGAGUGCAGAAGAGGAAAGUAGAAUUCCAAGUGUAGCGGUGAAAUGCGUAGAGAUUUGGAGGAACACCAGUGGCGAAGGCGACUUUCUGGUCUGUAACUGACGCUGGGGCGCGAAAGCGUGGGGAGCAAACAGG